rnacentral:rRNA from 1 species
AAUAGAUACCCAGGUAGUCCACGCCGUAAACGAUGAGUGCUAAGUGUUAGGGGGUUUCCGCCCCUUAGUGCUGCAGCUAACGCAUUAAGCACUCCGCCUGGGGAGUACGGUCGCAAGACUGAAACUCAAAGGAAUUGACGGGGGCCCGCACGAGCGGUGGAGCAUGUGGUUUAAUUCGAAGCAACGCAAAGAACCUUACCAGGUCUUGACAUCCCAUUGACCACUAUGGAGACAUAGUUUUCCCUUCGGGGACAACGGUGACAGGUGGUGCAUGGUUGUCGUCAGCUCGUGUCGUGAGAUAUUGGGUUAAGUCCCGCAACGAGCGCAACCCUUGUUCUUAGUUGCCAUCAUUUAGUUGGGCACUCUAAGGAGACUGCCGGUGACAAACCGGAGGAAGGUGGGGAUGACGUCAAAUCAUCAUGCCCCUUACGACCUGGGCUACACACGUGCUACAAUGGACGGUACAAACGGUUGCCAACCCGCGAGGGGGAGCUAAUCCGAUAAAACCGUUCUCAGUUCGGAUUGUAGGCUGCAACUCGCCUACAUGAAGCC